CCUACGGGUGGCAGCAGUGGGGAAUAUUGGGCAAUGGGCGCAAGCCUGACCCAGCAACGCCGCGUGAAGGAAGACGGCUUUCGGGUUGUAAACUUCUUUUUAGAGGGAAGAGCAGAAGACGGUACCUAUUGAAUAAGCCACGGCUAACUACGUGCCAGCAGCCGCGGUAAUACGUAGGUGGCAAGCGUUGUCCGGAGUUACUGGGUGUAAAGGGCGUGCAGCGGGGAUGACAAGUCAGAUGUGAAAUCCCGGGGCUCAACCGCGGAACUGCAUUUGAAACUGUUUUUCUUGAGUACCGGAGAGGUCAUCGGAAUUCCUUGAGUAGCGGUGAAAUGCGUAGAUAUAAGGAAGAACACCGGUGGCGAAGGCGGAUGAUUGGACGGCAACUGACGGUGAGGCGCGAGAGCGUGGGGAGCAAACAGGAUUAGAUACCCUUGUAGUC
rnacentral:rRNA from 1 species